rnacentral:tRNA from 1 species
ACCCAAAUAGCUUAUAUUUAGAGUUUGACAUUGAAGAUGUUACGGAGAUUAUUAAAUCUUUGGGUA